CUGAAGGCACUGGAAACUGAAGUCCUUUGUUUAAACACAGUACAGACACAGCAUAUGCAGUGGCAGUGCAAGGUUCACCAUCCUGCCUAAUCUGUGUACCUUGAGAACCGUUCUUCAUGGUGAGAGUUUCUUUAUGAAUUCAGUCUCCAGACUCUUUCAGUGUCUUCU
ensembl:misc_RNA